AGAGUUUGAUCCUGGCUCAGGAUGAACGCUGGCGGCGUGCCUAAUGCAUGCAAGUCGAGCGACGCAUACCGGAGGGGUAACCCACUGGUAUGACGGAGCGGCGAACGGGUGAGUAACACGUGAGCAACCUGCCCCACAGACCGGGACAGCCCAGGGAAACUUGGAUUAAUACCGGAUGCCCUCGGAGGAUCGCAUGAUCCAUCGAGGAAAUGCCUUUGUGCUGUGGGAUGGGCUCGCGACUUAUCAGCUAGUUGGUGGGGUAACGGCCUACCAAGGCGUCGACGAGUAGCUGGUCUGAGAGGACGAUCAGCCACACUGGGACUGAGACACGGCCCAGACUCCUACGGGAGGCAGCAGCAGGGAAUCUUGCGCAAUGGACGAAAGUCUGACGCAGCAACGCCGCGUGGGGGAUGAAGGCCUUCGGGUUGUAAACCCCUUUCAGGAGGGAAGAAAUUGACGGUACCUCCAAAAGAAGCACCGGCCAACUACGUGCCAGCAGCCGCGGUAAUACGUAGGGUGCGAGCGUUAUCCGGAAUCAUUGGGCGUAAAGAGCUCGUAGGCGGUUCAGCAAGUCGGCUGUGAAAUUUCGAGGCUCAACCUCGAAACUGCAGUCGAAACUGCUGUGACUCGAGUCCGGUAGAGGAGAAUGGAAUUCCCGGUGUAGCGGUGAAAUGCGCAGAUAUCGGGAGGAACACCAGUAGCGAAGGCGGUUCUCUGGGCCGGCACUGACGCUGAGGAGCGAAAGCUAGGGGAGCGAACGGGAUUAGAUACCCCGGUAGUCCUAGCCGUAAACGAUGGAUACUAGGUGUUAGAGGUAUCGACCCCUCUAGUGCCGGAGCUAACGCAUUAAGUAUCCCGCCUGGGGAGUACGACCGCA
rnacentral:rRNA from 1 species